CGCCCAGAUGAUAAUCUACAAAGAAGACAUCGCUUUGUAAAUGUGAAAAUGAUUUGGAUCUACAUGAUCAUCUCAUCUCUGGCAACGGCAGCUCUUUCAAAAGGUUCUGUAGAAUGCAACUCAACUAAACCUACUGUAACAACCAAACAGUUGGGAAAACUUGGAGAGCCGCUGAUGUUUCACCUACCGACUUUAACUACAAAAUUUACUUUGAAAAAGAAUUGUGAUAUAAUUUUUAGGUUAGUCAAUAAUACAGACCUAACAGA